ACUAAAGUAUCUGUUUCUCCCAAGAGGAAUCCCCAGCCAACGACUGCAAAGGUGUUGGUAUAAUGGAUAAUCUUGACUGUCCAUCUGAUUGGAUAUGCCUUUGGAGGGAAUGCAUCUACUCUGCUGCUGCUGCUGCCAACCUCAGAAAACAUCAGACUCCAGCUUCUUCAGGCUCUCAACAGUGACUCUCCAGAAACCAUUCAGUGUUCAGCAUCACUGGAACUGCUGGGGCAUCUAACCUCAUGAACUGUCCAGCUACUGGGUUCUCAGCCUCUCCAGCGUGAAGUCAGCCAUUGUAACUACCUACCCACUAUCACAUAAGCGAAUUGAAUUGGUAAUGUCUACUCACCCGGUCAGUUCUAUCCCUCUAGUGAAUCCUGACUAACACUGAUGCCCUGGCUUUGUCGGGGAUGACUGUAAGGAGGGUGAUUUACACCUUUUCCAAGGAUAUUUCUGUCUUAUGAAGCUCAUGUCACCCACAGCAGCAGCUGAACCUCUGUCUGCUACUAACCCCGCUUCCCUGCUUCUCUCCUACAAGUAUCUCUGGGGUUGUGUCCCAGACUACCUGCCUUGCACUCUGUGUGUCAAGCAGUCAGGGGAGUCAGACAAUGAGCUUCUGGUGGGCAGAGAGGCUUCUGAAAGUUGGAGCCCCCAAAAUGAACAUGAUGUAUAAGUGUUACUAAGAGGGAACUUGCAGAGCACCAGGUUCUGGUCAAGAACUGGAAAUCAGUGGCUAACUAUGAGGUGGAUGUCAUGCCUGAAGGAGCUACCAGAGACAACAAACCAUAUGGAAGCAAGUGUGGGGAUGGCAGAGUGAGGAGCCUCUGUAAGAUGAGCUGGGAAGAUCACAGUGCAACUUUCUGCAGGUUUAUGCAACAACAACUUAUAGCAAGGGCAGGAGACAGAAAUAAACAAGGCACUGACCUUGUUUCAAAGAGGUUUAGAGGAAGGAAGGAAGGAAGGAAGGAAGGAAGGAAGGGAGGGAGGGAGGGAGGGAGAGAGGGAGGGAGGGAGAGUGGGAAGGAGGGGGAGAGGGAGAGAGAGAGAGAGAGAGGAAGGAAGGAAGGAAGGAAGGAAGGAAGGAAGGAAGGAAGGAAGGGAGGGAAGGGAAGGAGGGGGAGAGGGAGAGAGAGAGAAAGAGAGAGAGAUGAAGGAAGGAAGGAAGGAAGGAAGGAAGGAAGGAAGGAAGGAAGGACACAUGGACACAUGGACACAUAUGCAUAGCAGGCCAGCUGGCUUCCUACCUCUGCCUCUAAGUGCUAGAAUUUAAGGUACAUGCCACCAUACCUGGCCAACUGCAGCCUGAUUCUUUUUGUUGGUUUGUUUCUUUGUUUGUUUCUUUGUUUGUUUGUUUGUUUGUUUUUGAGAUAGGGUUUCUUCCUUGAAUAGCCCUGGCUGUCCUGGGAUUAGCUCUGUAGACCAGGCUGGCCUCGAACUUACAGGGGCCUCUGCCUCCUGAGUGCUGAAAUUAAAGGUGUGUGCUGCCUCCUCCUGUUUUGCAGUCUGAUCUUCUGGAGGCAUUUUCUCAACUGAGUUUUCCUCUUCGGAGAUGACUCUAGCUUUUGUCAGAAAACUAGCCAGCACACCAGCUUUCUGUAGGAUUUAGACUGAGGUCCUUCCGCUGUGAUCUAACGAGCACAUCACCUAGUGAACCAUCAUCUCCCAGCCCUUCUGUGACACAUGCUUUGUUGCUCAUUGCUAUCUAAGCCAGGACAGCUGGCCCCUGACUUUCCAGGCAUUCUCCUGUCCAGUUCUCGUCUUCCCAUAGGAGCGCUGGCAUUACAAACUCAUGCUACCCAGUCCAGCUGUCCUACUUAGGGUAUCAUCGCUGUGAUGAAACACCUCGACCUCGGAAGUUGAACUUUCAGAACUGUGAGAAGUGGGGUGCUUGCUGUUCAAGCAAACUGAGCCAACUAAGGCAGCAUGUUAGACCCCUGAAGGCUGGGAUGGGAUGGCAGGAGCUUAAAGCCCUACCAUUCAUGUUCUGGAUUGACCAUAGCUGCAAACAUGUCUCUAGUUGUGGAAACCACCAGGCACAGGUAGUGGCCAAAGGAAACGUGCCAAAGGGGAAGUGGCCAGGGUUGAGACAGACCUGAACACCUUAGGACAGGGGGUGGGGCUUUAGUUGAAGGCUAAGGGUGGGUGUCAUGCUGAAGAGAAAAUUGCAAAAGAAUAGUAUAGCUGUGCCUAUAUGUCAUUUAUCUCCUGAGACACAAAUCUCUACACAACUCUGGUGACCCAUAAAACGGUCCCUGUUCAGUUGGAGAAAUAGGGGCCUCCUUAGUUAUUUCUAACAUAAGUAAGGAGUCUAAUGCAGGAAACUGGCCGCCAUAUACA
rnacentral:lncRNA from 1 species